UAAUGACAAAGUUAAGUUGUUGUCUGCUGCUAGGCAAAGAGUCAGUCUUAAGUACAAGGAUUUUAAAUUUUCGUUUUCUUCAGACUUCUAUGUAAAUUUAAGCAAGAAGAGAGCAGCAUUUAAUGACAUCAAAUGAACAUUCAGGGGAUCAAAUAUUAAAUACAGCCUCAAAUAUCCUGCAACCUUCAUAAUGAAGUUGACAAACUCUGGGAAAUACUACAGUAUCCAUUGGAUACUUGGCAAGCACUUUACAGGAAUUGAUCUCACACAGGAUAACAGCAUGAUCCUCUAAUAAAGGAAAAGACAAUGGAGAGUAUAUGCCCUGAAGAAAAGGAACUGUGAUUGGAAAACCAGGCAACUCAGCUCCAGUUGUGGUACUUCAUUGAGGUACAAGUAUAUGAAGCAUCCUGGAGUGAUCAGCACUAUGUGAUUUGGAAAUAUUCCUCAACGAGCCUGAAUUAGGCAGAGAUCUGAUCUCAAUUUAUAGACAGAAAACUGAUUCAUCUCUGGAGAUAAGGCCAUGAGAGAAUCAGACACAACGGAUGGUGACUGAAAAAUGUUGCUGUAGAUAAAGAAAAAUCCUUUCCAGGACGGCUGUGCUGGUUUAUGCUGAUUUUCUCAGUAGACUGCUGCAAGGGACAACCAGUGGAAUGGGACUUCGGUGAUGAGAAACAGGAACAGAAAUAAAGAAGAAACGUCAGUA